rnacentral:rRNA from 1 species
GUAGCUGGUCUGAGAGGAUGACCAGCCACACUGGAACUGAGACACGGUCCAGACUCCUACGGGAGGCAGCAGUGGGGAAUAUUGGACAAUGGGGGCAACCCUGAUCCAGCAAUGCCGCGUGUGUGAAGAAGGCCUGAGGGUUGUAAAGCACUUUCAGUGGGGAGGAGGGUUGAUAGGUUAAGAGCUAAUUAAYUGGACGUUACCCACAGAAGAAGCACCGGCUAACUCCGUGCCAGCAGCCGCGGUAAUACGGAGGGUGCGAGCGUUAAUCGGAAUUGCUGGGCGUAAAGGGUGCGUAGGUGGUUUGUUAAGUUAUCUGUGAAAUCCCUGGGCUUAACCUGGGCAGGUCAGAUAAAACUGRUAGACUCGAGUAUGG